UUAUAUAAAAGAAUUAAAAUUUUAAAUAAUUUUAUUUAUGUAUUUUAUAAAAUUUGAUUGUGUGUAUGUACAAUAAAUAUAUUUUGUUUAAUCAUAAUUAUCUAAUCUAUCUAUUACUAUAUAUUAAAGUAGAACCUUUAAUGAACCCUAUGUGAGAAACUGACACGUGGCUUUCUAUAUGCUUGCCACGUGUUAAAUUCAAAUAUGGAUAUUUGGUUGCGAAUUAUUUGAAAUGAUUGGUUGCGAAAAAAUCGGUGAAAAAUAUUUAUCUUUAUUUAGAAUGCGAAAACGAAUUAUUUGCAAUGAAACAUAUCAUCGUAUUUGAAUUUAAAUAUUAAAAUGAUUCAAAACUAAAAUUUAAAUCAAAUAUAAAUUAUUGCGAAAAUAUCUUUAUCUUUUUAACUAAUUUUUUCAUGUCCAAAAAUUUUGAACCAUUCAUCUUAAAUAAUCUAUUAAAUUUUGACGCAUUUGAAUUUAAAUCUUAAAAUAGAUAAAAAUUAAAUUUUGAAAAAAUUUUGAACCAUUCAUCUCAAAUAAUCCAUUAAAUUUUGACGCAUUUGAAUUUAAAUCUUGAAAUAGAUAAAAAUUAAAUUUUGAACCAUUCAUCUCAAAUAAUCCAUUAAAUUUUGACAAAUUUGAAUUUAAAUCAUGUGGCUUUCUAUAUGCUUGCCACGUGUCAAACUCAAAUAUGAAUAUUUGGUUGCGAAUUAUUUGAAAUGAUUGGUUGCGAAAAAAUUGGUGAAAAUAUUUAUCUUUAUUUGGGAUGCGAAAGCGAAUUAUUUGCUAUGAAACAUAUCAUCGUAUUUGAAUUUAAAUAUUAAAAUAAAAAUAUUUAUCUUUAUUUGAGAAUAAAUUAUUACUUAAUUAAUUAUUUGAAAUUAUUUGGUUGCGAAAUAUGCAAUAAUCGGUUGCGAAUUAUUUGAAAUGAUUGGUUGCAAAAAAAACGAUGGAAAAUACAAAAUGAUUCGCGGUUGCUUUGAAAUUAUUGUUUGCGAAAGAAUUGAUGGUUGCGAAUUAUUUGAAAUGACGAAUUAUUUGAAAUGAUUGGUUUACGAAAUGAUUAGCGGUUGCUUUGAAAUUAUUGUUUGCGAAAGAAUUGAUUGGUUGCAAAAAAAUUGGUCGAAAAUAUUUAUCUUUAUUUGGAAAUAAAUUAUUACUUAAUUAAUUAUUUGAAAUUAUUGGUUGCGAAAUACGUAAUAAUCGGUUACGAAUUAUUUGAAAUGAUUGGUUGCAAAAAAAAGGUGAAAAUUACGAAAUGAUUGGCGGUUGCUUUGAAAUUAUUGUUUGCGAAAGAAUUGGUGGUUGCGAAUUAUUUUAAAUGACGAAUUAUUUGAAAUGAUUGGUUGCGAAAAAAAUGGUGGAAAAAACGAAAUGAUUGGCGGUUGCUUUGAAAUUAUUGUUUGCGAAAGAAUUUAUAGAAUUUAUAAGUAGUAUAGAUAUAGAUAUUGCAUUAUUUCUUCUGUAAUUUUUAUUUCGUAAUUUUUUUUUCUCUACUGUGACUCCUGUAAUUUUUUUAGCUCUUAAAUAUUGAUUCUUUAAAAUAAAACAUAUAUUUUUUUAUUUUUUUAUUUAAAUAUGAUGUAUUAAUUUUUUUUUUGGAUGUCUUAUUUUUCUCAGGAUAUGGCAUUUGGGUACGAUUUUAUACGUGACAUCACUACUCUUGGAGACAAAUGGAAGAUCAAAAUUAGAGUGAUUUGUCUGUAUACUAUGCCUGAAUUUCAUCGCCCAUAGAUGGUGAAUAAUUUAGAGUUAGUUCUUUCUGAUCAAAAUGUAAGAUACGAUUUUAUUUUCAAAUUUAACAUAUGUUUGCUUCUUCUUUUUUUAGAUAUUACAUAAUUUGUUUAUUUUCUAUUUUAGGGAGAUAGAAUACAUGCAACGAUAAGAAAGGCUUUUCUGAAUAAAUUUAAAGGUCUUUUUACGAAAGGAAAAGUUUAUGCGAUCAAUCAGUUUGGAGUGGAGCAGAGCAGCGGCUCCUACAGGACCACUAAUCAUCCUUACAAAAUCAAUUUUCAAUAUUUUACGGUUGUACAUGAGAUGAAAAAUGUUUUGACCGUAUCAAAGUAUGGAUUUAUAUUUACCCCUUUUGAUGAAAUACUUGCUAAUAUCGCUGAUGACAAAUAUUUACUAGGUAAGAUUUAUUACAUGCAUCAAAUAUUUAAUUUUCAAAAUUUAAUUUUUAAUAUGUGUACCUACUAUGUUGAUUCUUACAUUUUAUUAUUAUAUUAUCUCAGAUGUCAUUGGGAAGCUUUCUGGAAUUAGUAGAAUGGAAGAAAACUGCAAGAACAAUAAAGAAACAAAAAAGAUUACGAUACUACUUGAGGAUGACAAGUAUGUGUUUAUAAUUAUAAAUAUAUUUUUUGAAUGUUUAUAAAUUUUUUUUCAGUUAGCAGCUUAUAAACGUUAUUUUUGAAUUUUUUCCUCUUUCCCAAAAUACCGGUCCCUAUUAAUAUAAUAUCUUCCGCAUAUAUAAUAUUUAAUCAUAUUUUUUUAAAACAAAAUAUAUAAAAGUUAUCUCAAAUUUACCUACUAAUAUUUAAAAUAUUUGAUAUUUUAUUUAAAACAUUAUAAAAUAUAUUAACAUAUAUAAUAUUUAAUCAUAUUUUUUAAAAGCAGAAUAUAUAAAAGUUAUCUCAAAUUUAAAAUAUUGGAUAUUUUAUUUAAAUUAUUAUAAAAUAUAUUAAUUCUUAGUAAUUAAAUCUAAUCUAAUGAUUGACGAAUAUAAAAUAUCUAUCGCUUUUUUUACCUAAAUUGACCUCAAAUAGUACGUAUCAAAUUUCACUUUUUAUACGCAUAUUGUAUAGCUUCUAAUAACCGUCGCCUACAUAAUAUCAUAUUUUAUCACAAAUAAUAUUCGCAUUUCUUAAAAUAUUUUCAUUCUCACAUGUAAUAUCCACCACCUAUAUAAUAUCCAAUUACAUAAUA
rnacentral:lncRNA from 1 species